GAUCUAAUCAGGAGCCUUCUCAGAUGCUUCAUAAAGCGAGACGUCCAGGUUGAUGUUUCCCCAGUAAAGCUGGUCAAACUUGAUGUGACAGACCAAAAGCUUUGGGUCAGUCCAAAGCAAGUGGACAUUGGCAUGGGAGCCACAGCUGCCCUCAAGGUCAUGUACGAGAGGAGGAGGAUGUAGUUCCUGACAUUUGGAUCGUCAGGAAAAAGAAAACCGUCGGAUGGGCACGUAAAAUGAGCGCCACAAAAAGCUAUGAAGGACAAAAUUAAUCC